UCCAGACUCCUACGGGAGGCAGCAGUGGGGGAUAUUGCACAAUGGGGGGAACCCUGAUGCAGCGACGCCGCGUGGGUGAAGGAGCGUUUCGGCGCGUAAAGCCCUAUCGGCAGGGAAGAAGGAGGACGGUACCUGACUAAGAAGCCCCGGCUAACUACGUGCCAGCAGCCGCGGUAAUACGUAGGGGGCAAGCGUUAUCCGGAUUUACUGGGUGUAAAGGGGGCGCAGACGGCAGCGCAAGCCAGGAGUGAAAGCCCGGGGCCCAACCCCGGGACUGCUCUUGGAACUGCGCGGCUGGAGUGCAGGAGGGGCAGGCGGAAUUCCUGGUGGAGCGGUGAAAUGCGUAGAUAUCAGGAGGAACACCGGUGGCGAAGGCGGCCUGCUGGACUGCGACUGACGUUGAGGCCCGAAAGCGUGGGGAGCAAACAGGAUUAGAUACCCUAGUAU
rnacentral:rRNA from 1 species